ensembl:lncRNA
AAACUGCCCCCAGCUCUGCCACCCCCUCAAGCUCCUACACCGGCUCCCUUCCCUUCAGGACUCGACUUCCACAAGAGUCACACACGCGUGUCCACUUCCUCUUCACCCACGUGCCUGUGAGAGCCUCCUCGCACACACGCCUGCAAUCCCGAGCAGCGGGUCCGCCUGCAGCGCUCUAACGACACGAGCCUUCCACCAGCGAGGACCUGAAGCAGAAAGCAAGUGCCUGUUCCCUGCACUGGUCCUCCUCUGCACCUCGCUCUCUGAAGCGCACACUCUCCUCCUCGAAACUCCACCUUCCAGCGGGUUCGGCGUCAGGGGAAGCUUCUGGCUCUGCCUCUCUGUCCUCGCUGAUUUCUCCUCUAGUUUCUAGGAGUGGGCUAGGCAGGGACAGCCGCAAGAUACCCUAAACCUUCAGGAUGUCCUAACUUGGCAAAUGCCGGAACACCUGCAGAGGUUCGGAGCUUCCUCCUGAGUCGUGUUGGAGGCAGGGGCCCGUCUCCUGUGUUUCAGUCACUGCCACCAGGUAAGCGCUUCGAUAACUUUUGCUAAAGCGUAACUCUCACUUGAUGACCAUUUUCUACAAAGAAGUAAAUCACCUAAAUGAGAAUUACCGCCUCUACCACGAUGAGGAAGAAAAACUCAGGAUGCCGGGCAACUUGGUAGAUUCACGCCGAGCCAGGGGGCUCACUCCCGCAGCAGCCGGCCCGGUCACGCCUCGAAAGAUCUGCGAGCGCCAUGCCGUUAACUCUCAGCCUCUUCAAAACAUACAGACUCCAAGCGCCGCACCAGACACGCGAACGUCAGGGCAUCCUCCCGCUCCAGCAGCGCAGGCUCUCCGCGGCCUUCUCUUUCACCUCGAGGAUGCGACCGUCACUCCCAGGUGGACGGGGCUUCCUCUGGCACCCUGGGCUCUGUCCUCCGAUCCCGACACCAUCACGCCCACACUCUGUCGGGUGCCUCAGACUCAUAUGCCUGACACUAAUCAAUCGUCCCCAGCCCCACCUCCUCCUGCGGUUCUGAGUUGAGUCAAGGACGUGACGGGAACCUCCAAGGUACCAGAACCUAACCUUCAGGAUGAUGCUGUCCUCUGCCCUCCGGCCUGCUCCGAAGCUCCAGGCUCCCUGAGCUCAGGCCAGGCAGUGUGUUCAGUUGGCUGCCCCUGUGGCCUGCAUGUGUUCCUGUACACACACGGCAGGGGCUGGAGCGUGUCUGUGAGUGCGUGAGCUCCCCGUACACACACAGCAGGUGCUGGAGCGUGUCUGUGAGCACGUGAGCACCCUGUACACAUAUGGCACGUGCCAGAGUGCGCCUGUGAGCAUGUGAGCGCCCUGUACACACACGGCAGGUGCUGGAGUGCGUCUGUGAGCAUGUGAGCGCCCUGUACAUACAUGACAGGUGCUGGAGCGUGUCUGUGAGCGCAUGAGUGCCCUGUACACACAUGGCAGGUGCCGGAGCAUGUCUGUGAGCACGUGAAUCCCCUGGACACACAUGGCAGAUGCCGGAGCAUGUCUGUGAGCGCCCCGGACACACACAGCAGGUGCUGGAGAUUGUCUGUGAGGGUGUGAGCGCCCUGUACACACACAGCAGGUGCUGGAGUGCGUCUGUGAGUGUGCGAGCACCCUGUACACACACGGCAGGUGCUGGAGAGUGUCUGUGAGCGCAUGCGUGGCCCGUACACACACGGCAGGUGCCAGAGCACGUCUGUGAGCACGUGAGUGGCCUGUACACACACGGCAGAUGCCGGAGCACGUCUGUGAGCGCCCCGUACACACACAGCAGGUGCUGGAGUAUGUCUGUGAACGCGUGAGUGCCGGUACCCGUGGUGAAGGGACACCCUCUCAGCCUCGCUUGG